AAGAUAGAGGUGCGAUUUUAAAAAGUAACGGAUUUCAGGCUGCCAAAGCCGUGUAUCGUCCGUGAAAGGUAAACUCGCCGAAGGGGGUUUCGGGGCAGGAAACCGCCUGGUUGUUUUUGUGAACAGCAGAACAACUGUCAUCAUGUUGAUAUGAUGGAGCGCUAUCGG
rnacentral:ncRNA from 1 species